rnacentral:misc_RNA from 1 species
CUUUAUCGGUACGUGACAAUCUCUUAAAGCGAGGCAUUCCUUUGUCUUCUAUCUGUCCGCUUUGUUAUUUAUAAUAGGAAAUUAUUAAACAUGCACUAUUUUGAUGCAAUCAUGCCCGUGCUGCCUGGUUUUCUCUCCCUUGCUCAUACAAACUCAAUCCAAGGGGUUUUGCAUCUUUUCCUAUUUGGUGGUCUGCUAUUUCGG